UACGUAGGGACCGAGCGUUGUCCGGAAUCACUGGGCGUAAAGCGCACGUAGGCGGCUUUUUAAGUCAGGGGUGAAAUCCUGGAGCUCAACUCCAGAACUGCCUUUGAUACUGGCGACCUUGAGUUCGGGAGAGGUGAGUGGAACUGCGAGUGUAGAGGUGAAAUUCGUAGAUAUUAGGAAGAACACCAGUGGCGAAGGCGGCUCACUGGCCCGGUACUGACGCUGAGGCGCGAAAGCGUGGGGAGCAAACAGG
rnacentral:rRNA from 1 species